rnacentral:rRNA from 1 species
UCCGGUUGAUCCUGCCGGAGGUCACCGCUAUUGGAAUCCGCUUAAGCCAUGCGAGUCGAGAGGGUUCGGCCCUCGGCAUACUGCUCAGUAACACGUGGACAAUCUGCCCUCGGGAGGGGGAUAACCUCGAGAAAUUGAGAAUAAUACCCCAUAGGCCCCUUACGCUGGAAUGCUUAGGGGCUCAAAGCCCCGGCGCCCGAGGAUGAGUCUGCGGCUCAUCAGGUUGUAGUGAGUGUAACGGACUCACUAGCCGACAACGAGUACGGGCCUUGGAAGAGGUCGCCCGGAGAUGGACUCUGAGACACGAGUCCAGGCCCUACGGGGCGCAGCAGGCGCGAAAACUUCGCAAUGUGGGAAACCACGACGAGGGGAUUCCAAGUGCUCAUGGUUUUCCAUGGGCUGUUUUUUCUGCUUAAAGUGCAGGGAGAGUAAGGGCUGGGUAAGACGGGUGCCAGCCGCCGCGGUAAUACCCGCAGCCCGAGUGGUGAUCGUUUUUAUUGGGCCUAAAGCGUCCGUAGCCGGUUUAGUAAAUCCUUGGGUAAAUCGAGCAGCUUAACUGUUCGAAUUCCGGGGAGACUGCUAAACUUGGGACUGGGAGAGGUCGGAGGUACUCCAGGGGUAGAGGUGAAAUUCUGUAAUCCCUGGGGGACCACCAGUGGCGAAGGCGUCCGACUUGAACGGGUCCGACGGUGAGGGACGAAGCCCUGGGGCACAAACCGGAUUAGAUACCCGGGUAGUCCAGGGUGUAAACGCUGCGGGCUUGGUGUUGGGGGUCCUACGUGGGCGUCCAGUGCCGGAGAGAAGUUGUUAAGCCCGCCGCCUGGGGAGUACGGUCGCAAGACUGAAACUUAAAGGAAUUGGCGGGGGAGCACCGCAACGGGUGGAGCGUGCGGUUUAAUUGGAUUCAACGCCGAAAAACUCACCGGGGGCGACUGUUAGAUGAGGGUCAGGCUAACGACCUUACCCGAUUUUCAGAGAGGUGGUGCAUGGCCGCCGUCAGUUCGUACCGCAAGGCGUUCUGUUAAGUCAGAUAACGAACGAGAUCCCCGCCCUUAAUUGCCAGCCCUCUGUCCGCAGAGGAGGAACAUUAAGGGGACCGCUGGCGCUAAGUCAGAGGAAGGUGGGGGCAACGGUAGGUCCGUAUGCCCCGAAUCCCCCGGGCAACACGCGCGCUACAAAGGAUGGGACAAUGGGUCCCUACACCGAAAGGUGACGGUAAUCCCGAAACCCAUUCAUAGUCCGGAUUGAGGGCUGUAACCCGCCCUCAUGAAGUUGGAAUCCGUAGUAAUCGCGGGUCAACAUCCCGCGGUGAAUAUGCCCCUGCUCCUUGCACACACCGCCCGUCAAACCAUCUGAGUUGGGUUGAAGUGAGGGCACCUCAUUUUGUGGUGUUCGAACUUUGGUUCAGCAAGGAGGGUUAAGUCGUAACAAGGUA